UACAGAGGGUGCAAGCGUUGUUCGGAAUCAUUGGGCGUAAAGGGCGUGUAGGCGGUCUGUUAAGUCAUGUGUGAAAUCCCUCGGCUCAACCGGGGAACGACGCAUGAAACUGACAAGCUAGAGUACCAAAGAGGGGGGUGGAAUUCCCGGUGUAGCGGUGAAAUGCUUAGAUAUGACACAGAACACCGAUUGCGUAGGCAGCUCGCUAAACUGUAACUGACGCUGAGGCACGAAAGCGCGGGGAGCAAACAGG
rnacentral:rRNA from 1 species